CAACUAAUCCCUCUGUUCCAAAUUACUUGUCGCAUGCAUGAAUGUAUUUAGAUGUAUUUUAGUUCUAGAUACAUCCAUUUCUGCGACGAGUAAUUUGGAAAGGAGGGAGUAGCCA
rfam:Triticum aestivum genome assembly, contig: Triticum_aestivum_CS42_TGACv1_scaffold_019095_1AS